UCACAGCCUUAUUAGCAUAAUCGGAACCUUUCUGAUUUUUAUAUUCACGAAAGAAUGAAAAAACCCGAGAAAGUCAAAACUUCGUAUAUCUCGGGAUUUUAACGAGACCAGUCUAACACUCGUGAAAAUCGAGAGAGGAGUUUAAAUGGAAAACGUAAGUAAAAGUUUUUGUUUCUUAUAUUGGCAAGCUUUUAAAUUAUUUAAAGUUGCAGAACAAUUGUUUAUUAAUGUGAAGUCGAAGUUUGGGGUGAUUAGCCUUAUCUCGUUAAAUUUUGUUCAGCAUGAAACAGUCUGAACAGCAAUCCUCGAUUUUGUCAACAAUCUAAAACGUGCUAAGGAGUAGUCAUUCGUCGAUUUACCUGCGGUUUCCAGAUGAUCUGAAGAUCGGGAUUAUAGAAAAUAUUGUCAAUUUGAUAUUGCUAAUGACCCAUGCAGUCAUGUCUGCUGAAGCCCAGAAGUUUCCAGACCAUGACAUUAAUGAAUAUUUCUUGAAUGGAAUGCAUGGGGAUUAGAAUGGAACCUUAUUCUGCCUUUUUACCAACUCACACCAUCUUUUCAAGAUUUAUGGAGCCAACCACAGAAGAAUUUGUUCUAUACACAUCAUUCAUAACAUUCUUAUUUAUGUUGCAUAACUUUAAAUGUUACUGGAUGAAUUGCGUUCACAUAAUGAAUACCAGCAAACUUUUUAUCGAGUGCACUUACCGGUAAUUUGUAUUUUUCCUACCCAUCCAUCUAACAUAUGUUUUUAUAUAACAUAUUCAUAAACAUGUAACAUUUUUGGAAACAGCUAUUUUUUUUAAAUUGGAAUUUAGCCUUACUAUUUUAUACAAGUUUUUUUAAAGGGACUUGGACACGAUCAAAAUUUUGUUUUCAAUUUCUUUAUGCAUAAAAUGAUUUACUUUCACAUUUUGAAUAAUUGACCAUAAUUUGAAUGUUAGAAGUCAAGUUAUAAGAGAGAUACAGGGGUCAGAAUUUAUUGUUAUGUAAACAAAGCUCGAGUCUUAUGUUUGUUUACAAAUAAUAUAAAGUAUGAAAUUACCAAUUUUUUGAGAAAAUGAUUCAUAGAAAAGAAGGUAAACUGAUUUGAUGUGAUCAUAAAUGAUAUUAUUAAUAGAAAAAAGCAACAUUUGAAUUAAACUUACACCAAUAAAACACAUAUGUAAAUAAUAACAAGACUUGCGCUUUGUUUACAAAACAAAAAAUAUUUAAUUUUUUAUCUUUCUUUUAACUCAGUAUUUGACUUUCAAAUUUUGACAAAGCAUUAAAAAUACCCAUAUCAACCAUUCUAAAUAUUGAAAAUGGAAACAUAAAAUUUUGAAUUUUAAGCUCAAAUCGUGUCUAAGUCCCUUGAAUAUACUCUUUUGUAU